AGUGAACGCUGGCGGUAGGCCUAACACAUGCAAGUCGAACGGCAGCACAGUAAGAGCCUGCUCUUACGGGUGGCGAGUGGCGGACGGGUGAGGAAUACAUCGGAAUCUACUUUUUCGUGGGGGAUAACGUAGGGAAACUUACGCUAAUACCGCAUACGACCUACGGGUGAAAGCAGGGGAUCUUCGGACCUUGCGCGAUUGAAUGAGCCGAUGUCGGAUUAGCUAGUUGGCGGGGUAAAGGCCCGCCAAGGCGACGAUCCGUAGCUGGUCUGAGAGGAUGAUCAGCCACACUGGAACUGAGACACGGUCCAGACUCCUACGGGAGGCAGCAGUGGGGAAUAUUGGACAAUGGGCGCAAGCCUGAUCCAGCCAUACCGCGUGGGUGAAGAAGGCCUUCGGGUUGUAAAGCCCUUUUGUUGGGAAAGAAAAGCAGCAGGUUAAUACCCCGCUGUUCUGACGGUACCCAAAGAAUAAGCACCGGCUAACUUCGUG
rnacentral:rRNA from 1 species